rnacentral:rRNA from 1 species
GGCAGGCCUAACACAUGCAAGUCGAACGGUAACAGGAAGCAGCUUGCUGCUUUGCUGACGAGUGGCGGACGGGUGAGUAAUGUCUGGGAAACUGCCUGAUGAGGGGGAUAACUACUGGAAACGGUAGCUAAUACCGCAUAACGUCGCAAGACCAAAGAGGGGGGACCUUCGGGCCUCUUGCCAUCAGAUGUGCCCAGAUGGGAUUAGCUUGUUGGUGGGGUAACGGCUCACCAAGGCGACGAUCCCUAGCUGGUCUGAGAGGAUGACCAGCCACACUGGAACUGAGACACGGUCCAGACUCCUACGGGAGGCAGCAGUGGGGAAUAUUGCACAAUGGGCGCAAGCCUGAUGCAGCCAUGCCGCGUGUAUGAAGAAGGCCUUCGGGUUGUAAAGUACUUUCAGCGGGGAGGAAGGUGUUGUGGUUAAUAACCACAGCAAUUGACGUUACCCGCAGAAGAAGCACCGGCUAACUCCGUGCCAGCCGCGGC